rnacentral:rRNA from 1 species
GAUGAACGCUGGCUACAGGCUUAACACAUGCAAGUCGAGGGGAGACGACGGGGAAGCUUGCUUCCCCGGGCGUCGACCGGCGCACGGGUGAGUAACGCGUAUCCAACCUGCCUCUGACUGAGGGAUAACCCGUCGAAAGUCGGCCUAAUACCUCAUGGCAUCGUCUGCGGGCAUCCAACGACGAUUAAAGAUUUCAUCGGUCAGGGAUGGGGAUGCGUCUGAUUAGCUUGUUGGCGGGGUAACGGCCCACCAAGGCUACGAUCAGUAGGGGUUCUGAGAGGAAGGUCCCCCACAUUGGAACUGAGACACGGUCCAAGCUCCUACGGGAGGCAGCAGUGAGGAAUAUUGGUCAAUGGGCGGGAGCCUGAACCAGCCAAGUAGCGUGCAGGAUGACGGCCCUAUGGGUUGUAAACUGCUUUUAUGCGGGGAUAAAGUGAGGGACGUGUCCUUCAUUGCAGGUACCGCAUGAAUAAGAACCGGCUAAUUCCGUG